GUGAGGAAUAUUGGUCAAUGGACGAGAGUCUGAACCAGCCAAGUCGCGUGAAGGAAGACGGUUCUAUGAAUUGUAAACUUCUUUUGUGCAGGAAUAAAGUGGGUUACGUGUAACCUUUUGUAUGUACUGUACGAAUAAGGAUCGGCUAACUCCGUGCCAGCAGCCGCGGUAAUACGGAGGAUCCGAGCGUUAUCCGGAUUUAUUGGGUUUAAAGGGUGCGUAGGUGGAGUGAUAAGUCAGUGGUGAAAGUUUGCAGCUUAACUGUAAAAUUGCAGGUGAAACUGUCGGUCUUGAGGGCAAAUGAGGUAGGCGGAAUGUGUUGUGUAGCGGUGAAAUGCUUAGAUAUAACACAGAACUCCGAUUGCGAAGGCAGCUUACUGGGAUGCAACUGACACUGAUGCACGAAAGCGUGGGUAUCAAACAGGAUUAGAAACCCUUGUAGUCC
rnacentral:rRNA from 1 species